rnacentral:misc_RNA from 1 species
GAUGAAGAACGCAGCGAAAUGCGAUAAGUUAUGUGAAUUGCAGAAUUCAGUGAAUCAUCGAAUCUUUGAACGCACAUUGCGCCCGUCAGUAUUCUGGCGGGCAUGCCUGUUCGAGCGUCAUUACGCCCCUCAAGUCCCCUGUGGACUUGGUGUUGGGGAUCGGCGAGGCUGGUUUUCCAGCACAGCCGUCCCUUAAAUUAAUUGGCGGUCUCGCCGUGGCCCUCCUCUGCGCAGUAGUAAAACACUCGCAACAGGAGCCCGGCGCGGUCCACUGCCGUAAAACCCCCCAACUUUUUAUAGUUGACCUCGAAUCAGGUAGGACUACCCGCUGAACUUAAGCAUAUCAAUAAGCGGAGGA